rnacentral:rRNA from 1 species
UACGGGGGGGCAAGCGUUGUUCGGAAUUACUGGGCGUAAAGGGCUCGUAGGCGGCCAACUAAGUCAGACGUGAAAUCCCUCGGCUUAACCGGGGAACUGCGUCUGAUACUGGAUGGCUUGAGUUUGGGAGAGGGAUGCGGAAUUCCAGGUGUAGCGGUGAAAUGCGUAGAUAUCGUAAGGAAGACCAGUGGCGAAGGCGGGUCUCUGGACAGUUCCUGACGCUGAGGCACGAAGGUCAGGGGAGCAAACGGG